GUCCCUGUAGCGCUGUAGAUAGCGCGUUGGACGUCUAAUCCAAAUGUCGUGAGUUCAAAUCCCCAUCUGGGAUG